rnacentral:antisense_RNA from 1 species
CGUCAUGGCGGCUGUGCGUGGGAGACCUUCGGGUCUGCCGGAUGCCUAGAGUUCCGGUUCGCCAACCUGCGUACAGCUGCCACCCAA